UACGUAGGGAGCAAGCGUUGUCCGGAUUUACUGGGUGUAAAGGGUGCGUAGGUGGUUUUGUGGGUCAGGUGUGAGAUUUGCAGGCUUAACUUGUAAACUGCACUUGAAACUAUAAAACUUGAGUGAAGUAGGGGCAGAUGGAAUUCCCGGUGUAGCGGUGAAAUGCGUAGAGAUCGGGAGGAACACCAGUGGCGAAGGCGAUCUGCUGGCCUUUUACUGACACUGAGGCACGAAAGCGUGGGUAGCAAAC
rnacentral:rRNA from 1 species